rnacentral:rRNA from 1 species
CGUACACUCCUGCGGGAGGCAGCAGUGGGGAAUAUUGGACAAUGGGCGCAAGCCUGAUCCCGCCAUGCCGCGUGAGUGAUGAAGGCCCUAGGGUUGUAAAGCUCUUUCACCGGUGAAGAUAAUGACGGUAACCGGAGAAGAAGCCCCGGCUAACUUCGUGCCAGCAGCCGCGGUAAUACGAAGGGGGCUAGCGUUGUUCGGAUUUACUGGGCGUAAAGCGCACGUAGGCGGACUAUUAAGUCAGGGGUGAAAUCCCGGGGCUCAACCCCGGAACUGCCUUUGAUACUGGUAGUCUUGAGUUCGAGAGAGGUGAGUGGAAUUCCGAGUGUAGAGGUGAAAUUCGUAGAUAUUCGGAGGAACACCAGUGGCGAAGGCGGCUCACUGGCUCGAUACUGACGCUGAGGUGCGAAAGCGUGGGGAGCAAACAGGAUUAGAAACCCCUGUAGUCCCAUG